rnacentral:rRNA from 1 species
UACGUAGGGCGCAAGCGUUGUCCGGAAUUAUUGGGCGUAAAGAGCUCGUAGGCGGCUUGUCGCGUCUGCUGUGAAAACCUAAGGCUCAACCUUGGGCUUGCAGUGGGUACGGGCAGACUAGAGUGCGGUAGGGGAGACUGGAAUUCCUGGUGUAGCGGUGGAAUGCGCAGAUAUCAGGAGGAACACCGGUGGCGAAGGCGGGUCUCUGGGCAGUAACUGACGCUGAGGAGCGAAAGCGUGGGGAGCGAACAGG